rnacentral:rRNA from 2 species
AUUAGAGAAGCGUUCUUCCGCGCCAGACCGGUGCAAAAGUCUCCUGGAAUGGAGCGUCAUAGAGGGUGAGAAUCCCGUCUUUGGCACGGAUGCUUGGUGCUCUGUGAUGCGCUCUCGAAGAGUCGAGUUGUUUGGGAAUGCAGCUCAAAAUGGGUGGUGAACUCCAUCUAAAGCUAAAUAUUGGCGAGAGACCGAUAGCGAACAAGUACCGUGAGGGAAAGAUGAAAAGCACUUUGGAAAGAGAGUGAAACAGUACGUGAAAUUGUUGAAAGGGAAACGCUUGAAGUCAGUCGCGUUGACCAAGACUCAACCUUGCUUCGGCUUGGUGUUCUUCUUGGCUUAACGGGCCAGCAUCAAUUUUGCCUCUCGGAUAAUGGCAAGGGAAAGGUGGCACCUUUACGGGUGUGUUAUAGUCUUUUGUCGCAUGCGAGGGGUGGGAUUGAGGAACUCAGCACGCGCCUCUUGGUGUCGGGGUUUAGGCCCACGAUACGUGCUUAGGAUGUUGGCGUAAUGGCUUUAAACGACCCGUCUUGAAACACGGACCAAGGAGUCUAACAUGCCCGCGAGUGUUCGGGUGGAAAACCCGUGUGCGUAAUGAAAGUAAAAGUUGGGACCUCUGUCGUGGAGGGCACCGACGCCCGGACCAGACCUUCUGUGACGGAUCUGCGGUAGAGCGUGUAUGUUGGGACCCGAAAGAUGGUGAACUAUGCCUGAAUAGGGUGAAGCCAGAGGAAACUCUGGUGGAGGCUCGUAGCGAUUCUGACGUGCAAAUCGAUCGUCAAAUUUGGGUAUAGGGGCGAAAGACUAAUCGAACCAU